rnacentral:lncRNA from 1 species
CAGUAACGAGAACACACAGAAACCCUACUGGAUGGCCAUGCCACUCUGAGAGAUGUCUACCCUCUCCACACUGCUGUUGGGUAAGGCGAUCAUGACACUGAAUUCAGUCAAGCAUGAGCUCAAAUAGGGUCAGAAUCCGACACCAACAGGGACAACAUCAACGGGAAGAAUACUUCUUUCUUCUUAUGAUUAUUCAGGGAUAAUGGACUCUGAGUGAGGGGAUCUGAAGCCUUCUCCUGUAUUAUGGAACAGGCUUCCUCAUAUAAAUAUGGUGCCUCAAACUGUUCACUUAUUCAUUGAGAUGGACUGACUGGAGCUACCGUCAAUUGAGGAUAAUAUGCUAUGUUGUGAAAACAGGCCUGGCAUUUCCUCCAAGUCUCUGUCCACAGGUUUGAGUGCUCUGUGGAAGAUUCUAGCCCUAUAGGAAAAUAUUACAGAUGGCACCCAAACAUAGGAACUAUUGGUGUUCUUUAGACGACCACAGGCAGGUCUCCAUUGCUCCACAUUAUCUGAGAAAAAACACCCCUUUGAACAUGCAGUUCAUAGAUACUCACCCUGGUGGGCCUCACAAUUCAACAUGCUCUUACAUGCCAACUGCCAGAACAAGGAGUUUGUUCCCUGAACCUGACAUUUGAUGCCAUCUCCACCGAGCUCCAAGGAACCAGAGGAGCCCACCCAGGGCUCACCAGCCCGCCUUGGAGUCAGCUUCUGUUCGUAGUUUACUUGCAACCUGGACUUCCUAGCUCCCUUUGCCUCACAGGCUAAAUUCCUGCUCAGGAUCGUUCAUCUCUAACGUCAAGAGAAUGGUUUUUGGUGCAUCAUGUUCUGGAGGUGGUGCUGGCAGAGUUCCACCUUCCAUGGCCUCUAUAUCCUGAUGCCUAAGUGGAUCAGGGUUUAAAUGCAUGGAGAGCACCAUGGACAGAAGAAUCCCCUAGGGAGGCAGGGCAGGUCCUGAUGCUGCCAGCAGCAUCCUCUCUCCCAUCAAGAGUACGCUUUUUGAUCCCUUCUUCUAACUCCUUCCACACUGUCUCCUCAUUUCUUUACAUUCAAUGUGUGGUACAACCCAGAGCAUCAAGGGCUAAACUGGCCACGGUCUCAGCCUCUAACCUGCAGUCCUGUUCCCAACCUAGACACGGUUGCCUCUGUGCCCUCCAUGGCUGCCACCUGUCCCUGUCUUCUCAGAAAAUAUACCUGAGGUCUGGGACCCAACUCCCUGAAGCUCCCUACACUUUAUACAUGGAUGCUCAUAUCUAAAUUCCUAUCUUCCUUUCUGUCCCUUCUUCAUGAUGAGCUGGCAAGUAUCUAGACAGCAGCUCUUCCUGGGAGUGGGUAGCUGCUUAUCUGAGACUCCAUAGCUCACAGAACACAGGGGUCUUCAAAGCAUACCCAUCUUGUGGGAACAACCCUCCUUUUGGCCUUGCAUUAUAAGAUGGAUCCCCCAAGGCCUCCCCAUGCCCGCCCCAGGGCCUCCUCCUCUUUCUUAUGUACCGCCGGACUCAUAGCUUACUGAUCACUAUGUGACAGAGCCCCUCCCCCUACACAUCCCUCUGAAAGUGAGUCUUAUCCACAGUCCAUAGGUACCCCCAACCCCAACAUCUCACACAUUUUCACACACUCUCUCUAUUGAAGACACUUUGAACUUGCCCUCUAUGGGCAAAACAUGUGCAGUUGAUUCUAGCUGUGUCCUAAACAAGCUCAUUAGGAUAAGAAACCAGCUAUGGCCAUGCUGGGCCAAGGAGAGGAAUCUCAGCACCUACUCGCCUGUGCUAGCCUCAGUCCAGAGGGUAGCAAAACUUGGGUUAUUUGUACCCAUAAACUUACCUCCCCUUCCCCCUCUUAGAGGCCAAUUACUCUGCAAGCCUGGGGCUCUCUUAUUCCUGCCAAGCUAUUAUAAAGGCAAGGCUUGGCCUUGCCUUUCUUAGCAAGCAAGGAACUUGUACUAUGGCCAAGAUGUCUUGCAGCGCUCAAACACUAGAGCUAAAGUAGAACAGACCAUGAGUGGCUAAAAGGAAUCAGCCUGAUGUCUCUUGUGGACCUGUGGAGCAGGUCAGCCGUUCUCCUGGCUUCCUUUGCAAGUUGCUGGCUGUCGGAUCUUAAAAGGCAUCUCUUGAUUUGUGACUGACGGUUGUUCUCACACGGCAAGUCCAAAGCUGACUGGUUACCAAGGAGACAAAAUGUUUACUAUCUGGCCCUCUAUAGAAAAGGUUGGCCAAUGCUCAUGGGGACUCCUGGCUUUGCAACGCUACCAGAACCAAAGCCACCUGCCUGCAGCCCUCCACGCCAGUGAUCCCACACUAACCUAAGAGGAUGAAGGAUGAGCAUCCUGCCGGGGCCUCAGAAAGAGCAGAGUCCCUCCCCCCACCCAACUGUGGGCAGCUGACAUGACAGAUAGAUGCUCCCCAUUGAUCUUCAAUUGCCCCUGGCAGAAGGGGGCACUGAGGUGGUGCCUAGUCUUCACUUCUCAGCUGGCACCUUGUACAUGGCCCAACUCCUCUCCUGGGCCUCCUGCUGCUGGCUGCCCCAGUAUCUCUGCACACACUGAACAAGGCAGAAAUGAAAACGGCACGCCUACAAACAGCACCCGCCUCGACCCACAGGAAGGACUGCACCGUCCUGUUCCGUGAUGGCACAAAGCUACCUUCGUUUCACCUGUUCAAUGAAGACACCAGAGUACCCAGCAUCCACCAGCCCUACUCGGUCACUCAGUCCAGGGCAGACCCAAGCUUCCUCAGACUUUACCACAGCUGGGAGUCUUUCCCAACUCCUACAUCAGCCCCACCUCUGGCUCAGCACAGCAAGCCUGCAGGCCUCCUGAGUGGUCGAGCUGCCUGGCACUGGUACUGGUAACGGGACCAUGAUGCUAUUGGCAGAUGAUGGAGUCUGACCAGCGCUCACUGGGAUUUCCAGAUUCUUGCUUCCCGUGAAAGGGAAUCAGACGGGGACAUUUGACUAGUAGUGGAAGCAGAGACAGUUUAUUAAGGAAGAAAGCAUCUCGGGGGAAGAAGUGGGCCAGAGUUUGAAGAAAGGUCAGAAGCUCAAUGGCUCCAGUGCCUAGGGGGUCACUUGUAUAGUGUAAGCUCUUUGUGGGUCUGCUACCUGUUGGUCUUAGAGGAACUGGAUCCAGGACUUUUCUGCCAGUUGGUUUCUUUCACAUGCUAAUGCUGAUUACCCCCUAUCCCCUGCCCCUACUCUCCUGACACAAUCACUGCUGCCACUAAGGGCCAUGAUGGUUGGUUGUCCUUUUCCAGGUUCCAGGUCACAGGCUCAUGCAGUAGUUCUGCAUCAUAGCAGCAGUAGACUAAAGCUUUCUCCUGACUGGAGGAGUGGCUUCCAUGGCUUUUUUUUUUUUUUUUUUUCAGUGAUGUGAUGAACAUUUGGGUGAUUUUAGUCCCCUAUUUGGACUGACAAUGUCACAAAGACAGAGGGACUGGGGCCUGCAGUUCCACGGGCACUUAAGUGGGCAGUGUUUGACACUUAUUUCUCAAGUAGUAUCCAGGCUUGAAACCACCCCACCCCACCCCCAAGCCGCCUGAUCCUCGGGUUGGUCCGGAACCCUGGAAAGCAAAUGCCUUCUCUACCCCCAUCACGUAGGCCUAUGCAGAAGCCUACAGCCAUGCUUAGCGGGUGAGACCUGCGAUCCUCUCUGAUCCACAGCAGUCCCUUGCAGAGGGGCACACCUCAGACCAGUGCCAGGAGGUGACAGGGCACUGUUCCCCAGCCCUGGCCCUGGCCUGAGCACUCUAGGUUCUUAUUCUAGGGUGGCCACAAAAUGAGUUCAGGUAAUAAGGUCAAGUCCUAAAAUUUUCUUGGCUCUUACCCAAGGGACAGAUGUAGGGCAAGAAGUUUCUUCUCUAUCUCUCUCUCUGGAUAUGAGUGAGCAGCCGGGCAGAGUUGGGGGUGGGGUGGGGCAGGAGCCUCUUGAUCAGGCACAAUGGAUCAGCCCCCAAUGGUCUAGGCACGCUGUGGGAGCCAGAAGUAAGAACUGCUUAGGCUGGCCACCUUCUGCUCAGAGAAUUACUGAACCCAAAAGAGGUUAUCCCCAGGGACCUGUGCUCAGGUGGGUGUAGUGCUCAGCACCAUCUGAGGCCACUGGGUGAACAGCAUUCACUAGAGGUAGCCUCCCUCAUACAUGAACAGUAUUCAUAUUCAUAUAGGGCUUCCGUACCCCUAGGGCCAGGAUAGGCUGCAGAGGCACAGCCUCCCUGGCCUCAGCCCAGAUGUCCUGGUGCAGCUGAGGGGAGAACAGACCUUUAGAGACUUCAGCUAACUAGCAUGGUUUCCUCACUUGGGCCCACAGAGCAGCAAGGCCCAGGAUGAGACCUUGGCAUCUCUGUCUUAUCUUGAAGACAGAAAGCUUUGCCAUGAGUCACUGUCCUAAACCCAAUUCCAAGAGCAGCGAAGCCUCCCCGGACAGGCCACUUCCCCAGAGGAGGGCCAUGGUGGCUGAGAAUGAGGCUGCACCGUGGCCAGGACCACCUCAUUACACAUAACCCGCCCCAAUCCUCUGUUUCAACCCAAAGCUCAUGUCAGAACUGCAGAGAUCACAUGGAGGUCGUUGUUGUAUCUGUUCCUCUUUCUACUGUGGCCACCCUGAUUAAACUUGCUACUUUACAC